UUGGAGGGCAAGUCUGGUGCCGGCAGCCGCGGUAAUUCCAGCUCCAAUAGCGUAUAUUAAAGUUGUUGCAGUUAAAAAGCUCGUAGUUGAAUUUCGGGGUUAGUAGGUUGGUCAUGCCUCUGGUAUGUACUGGUCUCACUGAUUCCUCCUUCCUGAUGAACCUUAAUGCCAUUAAUUUGGUGUUUUGGGGAAUUUGGACUGUUACUUUGAAAAAAUUAGAGUGUUUAAAGCAAGCUAACGCUUGAAUACAUUAGCAUGGAAUAAUGAAAUAGGACGUUCGAUCCUAUUUUGUUGGUUUCUAGGAUUGACGUAAUGAUUAAUAGGGAUAGUUGGGGGCAUUAGUAUUCAAUUGUCAGAGGUGAAAUUCUUGGAUUUAUUGAAGACUAACUACUGCGAAAGCAUUUGCCAAGGAUGUUUUCAUUAAUCAAGAACGAAAGUUAGGGGAUCGAAGACGAUCAGAUACCGUCGUAGUCUUAACCAUAAACUAUGCCGACUAGGGAUCGGAUGAUGUUAAUUUUUUAAUGACUCAUUCGGCGCCUUACGGGAAAC
rnacentral:rRNA from 1 species